GUGAACGCUGGCGGUAGGCCUAACCCAUGCAAGUCGAACGGCAGCACAGUAAGAGCUUGCUCUUACGGGUGGCGAGUGGCGGACGGGUGAGGAAUACAUCGGAAUCUACUUUUUCGUGGGGGAUAACGUAGGGAAACUUACGCUAAUACCGCAUACGACCUACGGGUGAAAGCAGGGGAUCUUCGGACCUUGCGCGAUUGAAUGAGCCGAUGUCGGAUUAGCUAGUUGGCGGGGUAAAGGCCCACCAAGGCGACGAUCCGUAGCUGGUCUGAGAGGAUGAUCAGCCACACUGGAACUGAGACACGGUCCAGACUCCUACGGGAGGCAGCAGUGGGGAAUAUUGGACAAUGGGCGCAAGCCUGAUCAAGCCAUACCGCGUGGGUGAAGAAGGCCUUCGGGUUGUAAAGCCCUUUUGUUGGGAAAGAAAAGCAGCAGGUUAAUACCCCGCUGUUCUGACGGUACCCAAAGAAUAAGCACCGGCUAACUUCGUG
rnacentral:rRNA from 1 species